GGGAUAUAGAAAAGAGAGAGUGAGAGAGAGUGCAAGAGAUAAACGGUACCCUACGGUGGAGAUGGGUGUGGACCUCAAAUCCGUCUAAUUGCGAUGGAGGACAUGAGAUGCUACUUGUUAAGAAGACGAACCCUGUGCCUCACAGUUGCUUCCAACAUUGGCUGCUUUUGGCUAGCGAGGUAGAAAGCAGGAUAGUCUUCCACCAAUCGCAAUCGAGAGAAAAAAACAGGAUGCAAAGUACAGCCCUGAUAAGACUGUACCUGGAGGCAUGUCUGCAAUUCUGAACAAGUCAGCACUAGCAAGGUGAUUUGGAAGAUCUUGUUCUGAAAAAUGGAAUAAAAUCAGGUAUGGGAAAGACGUGUGUAAGAGUGAAGAUUCAAAGAGCCAAACCGGACUGAUGUGCCUUCAAGAAAGCAAGAUGAGGAUGAAAAAAUAUCUGAAUAGUUUGAACACUGGCAAGAAAGUGGUUCCUAGAAAAAAUGCAGGACAUUGUAGAUUUAAGUAAUGGAGCAAAAUUGAACCAAAGACACUCUAGAUGGUAUAUUUCAAAUAAUUGCCUAUUUGUGAGAUCUGUGGGAAAUGGAAAAGAACACACUUCCUCUUCUAAGUGGUGAGAAGGGAAAUCAUUUAAAACUAGACUGGAGAAAAGCUCAUGAGAAUGUUUUUGGGGGCAGAGAAAAAGCCAUAAAUAUUUAAAAUUUGUAUUUCAAGAAUGUGGGAAACUGAAGAAAAGUAUUGAAUACACAAAGAUAACUGUCAACAAACACUUCUAUUCCAGGAAAGAAUACUAAAACCUUCAAUAUACUGUGAAAAUAAAACAACAUAGAGCCCAAACUUUGA